UACGAAGGGGGCUAGCGUUGUUCGGAAUUACUGGGCGUAAAGGGCGCGUAGGCGGUGUGUCAAGUCAGGCGUGAAAGCCCCGGGCUCAACCUGGGAACCGCGCUUGAGACUGGCACGCUCGAGUUCGGGAGAGGAUGGUGGAAUUCCCAGUGUAGAGGUGAAAUUCGUAGAUAUUGGGAAGAACACCGAUGGCGAAGGCAGCCAUCUGGACCGACACUGACG
rnacentral:rRNA from 1 species